rnacentral:rRNA from 1 species
GGGCUAAAGGUGCGCGAGGCGGUUCUGGUAAGUCGAGAUGUGAAAUCCCCGGGCUUAACCUGGGAACUGCGCUUGAAACUGCAGAGCUAGAGUGCGGCAGAGGGAGGUGGAAUUCCAUGUGUAGCAGUGAAAUGCGUAGAGAUAUGGAAGAACAUCGAUGGCGAAGGCAACCUCCUGGGCUAGCACUGACGCUCAUGCACAAAAGCGUGGGGAGCAAACAGGAUUAGAUACCCUGGUAGUCCACGCCCUAAACUAUGUCAACUAGUUGUCGGGUCUUAAUGACUUGGAACUAGCUAACGCGUGAAGUUGACCGCCUGGGGAUACGGUCGCAAGAUUAAAACU